rnacentral:rRNA from 1 species
AGAGUUUGAUCCUGGCUCAGAACGUACGCUGGCGGCACGCCUAACACAUGCAAGUCGAACGCAGUAGCAAUACUGAGUGGCAAACGGGUGAGUAUAAUGUGGGAAUCUGCCUUUUGGUUUGGAAUAACACGGGGAAACUUGUGCUAAUACUGGAUAAGUCUUUACGGAGAAAGCUUUAUGCACCAUUGGAUGAGCCUGCACUUGAUUAGUUUGUUGGUGGGGUAAUGGCCUACCAAGACUGUGAUCAAUAGCUGAUUUGAGAGGAUGAUCAGCCACAUUGGGACUGAGACACGGCCCAAACUCCUACGGGAGGCAGCAGUGGGGAAUCUUGCACAAUGGAGGAAACUCUGAUGCAGCGAUGCCGCGUGAGUGAAGAAGGCCCUUGGGUUGUAAAGCUCUUUCGUCGGGGAAGAAAAUGACUGUACCCGAAUAAGAAGGUCCGGCUAACUUCGUGCCAGCAGCCGCGGUAAUACGAAGGGACCUAGCGUAGUUCGGAAUUACUGGGCUUAAAGAGUUCGUAGGUGGUUGAAAAAGUUGGUGGUGAAAUCCCAGAGCUUAACUCUGGAACUGCCAUCAAAACUUUUCAGCUAGAGUAUGAUAGAGGAAAGCAGAAUUUCUAGUGUAGAGGUGAAAUUCGUAGAUAUUAGAAAGAAUACCAAUUGCGAAGGCAGCUUUCUGGAUCAUUACUGACACUGAGGAACGAAAGCAUGGGUAGCGAAGAGGAUUAGAUACCCUCGUAGUCCAUGCCGUAAACGAUGUGUGUUAGACGUUGGAAAUUUAUUUUCAGUGUCGCAGCGAAAGCGAUAAACACACCGCCUGGGGAGUACGACCGCAAGGUUAAAACUCAAAUGAAUUGACGGGGACCCGCACAAGUAGUGGAGCAUGUGGUUUAAUUCGAAGAUACGCGCAGAACCUUACCAACACUUGACAUGUUCGUCGCGACUUUAAGAGAUUAGAGUUUUCGGUUCGGCCGGACGAAACACAGGUGCUGCAUGGCUGUCGUCAGCUCGUGUCGUGAGAUGUUGGGUUAAGUCCCGCAACGAGCGCAACCCUCACUUUUAGUUGCCAUCAUUUAGUUGGGCACUCUGAAAGAACUGCCAGUGAUAAGCUGGAGGAAGGUGGGGAUGACGUCAAGUCCUCAUGGCCCUUACGUGUUGGGCUACACACGUGCUACAAUGGUAUCUACAACAGGAAGCAAGACUGCGAGGUCAAGCAAAUCCUUAAAAGAUACCUCAGUUCGGAUUGCACUCUGCAACUCGAGUGCAUGAAGCUGGAAUUACUAGUAAUCGUGGAUCAGCGUGCCACGGUGAAUGCGUUCCCGGGUCUUGUACACACCGCCCGUCACACCAUGGGAGUUGGUUCUACCUUAAGGCAAGGUUUCAAACCCUUGACCACGGUAUAGUCAGCGACUGGGGUGAAGUCGUAACAAGGUAACC